rnacentral:misc_RNA from 1 species
AACGCACAUUGCGCCCCUUGGUAUUCCAUGGGGCAUGCCUGUUCGAGCGUCAUUUGUACCUUCAAGCUCUGCUUGGUGUUGGGUGUUUGUCCCGCUUUUUGCGUGGACUCGCCUCAAAGCAAUUGGCAGCCGGCGUACUAGCCUGGGAGCGCAGCACAUUUUGCGCAUCUCGACUGGAGCGCUUGCGUCCAUUAAGCCUACACUUUUGCUCUUGACCUCGGAUCAGGUAGGGAUACCCGCUGAACUUAA